rnacentral:tRNA from 1 species
CGGCGAGUAGCGCAGCUUGGUAGCGCAACUGGUGGGUGACCAGUGGGUCGGAGGUUCGAAUCCUCUCUCGCCGACCA